UGGGGAAUUUUGGACAAUGGGGGCGACCCUGAUCCAGCCAUUCCGCGUGAGUGAAGAAGGCCUUCGGGUUGUAAAGCUCUUUCAGUUGGAACGAAACGGUACGCGCUAAUAUCGCGUGCUAAUGACGGUACCGACAGAAGAAGCACCGGCUAACUACGUG
rnacentral:rRNA from 1 species